rnacentral:lncRNA from 1 species
UUUUAUUCCUCAUUCACGAAACUGAAAGAAAGGAAAGAGGAUGAAAUCCCUAAUUCCUUUCUCAUUUGCCACAUUCUGUCAUUUUCGUCCCCUCAUUUUUUGGUUUCUUUCUAGUAGGUGAGUCGAGGGAGAAUGAAGCCAGUGCGGUGAAGUGGUUCAAGGUCAGGGUCGCGGUGGUCCAUCGACGAGGAAGUGGUUCGGAGGGUUCUGUUACCCCUAUUCUUUCGCACAAAAUGGGAUGUCAAUCCCUAAAUCCAACUCCAUCUUCUCCGCUCUUCAUUAGCAGUGGUCACGAUGAGAUGCGGUGGUUCAAGGUGACUCUCGGUGGUGACAGAGGCUCGUGGCCAUGAAAGAGAAUCACGCUCCUGAGAGAUUUACGGCCAGAUCGAGGUGGCCUCGGAUCGGUAAUGAAAUCUACUCCCUUUGUUUCACAUUAUCAUUAAGUGCCAAACAUACUUAAAAAUCAUACACUUUUAUGGCACUUAUCUUAAGCAUAAUUGAGAAAAACCAACUUAAAACAAUACUUUUUAUAUAAACUGUCACAAUUUAGUAUAUUUGUGUUUGUAUUGCCUUUUAUGUAUUUUAUAGGAAAUAAAAUGAAGAAAAGAAGAGAAAUGAUUCAUGGUCAAAAAGCAACAAAAGUCAAGAAAACCAAGGUCCUCAACCAGGCAGUUGAGCGUCACUUAAUCCACUUCAUCUUAAAAUGUAUAAAUUGUUAGGCUUUGUUCAUUAUGCAUAAAUUCAAUUCAAAUCAAGGAUUAAGACCAUUAGAAGUGAUAAUGGUCAAGAAUUUCUUAUGAGAGAAUUUUAUCAUGAAAAUGGCAUUGAACAUCAAACAACAUGUGUUGAGACACCACAGCAAAAUGGUGUGGUGGAAAGAAAACAUCAACACAUAUUGAGUGUCACUAGAGCCUUAAUAUUUCAAUCAAAUGUUCCUACUUGUUUCUGGAAUUAUGCAGUAUCAUAUGCUAUACACUUAAUCAACAGACAACCUACUGUUUUCUUGUCAAAUAAAUCACCCUAUGAACAGUUACAUCAAACCCUUCCUAGCAUCAACAACCUAAAGAUAUUUGGUUGUUUUUGCUAUCUUUACACCCUAGUGUCCCAUAGAAAGAGCUUGACUCUAGGUCUAAAAAAUGCAUAUUUUUAGGAUUCAAAAAGGGCACCAAAGGCUUCAUUAUCUUAGACAUAAAAACCAAUAAAGUUCUGAUAUCAAGAAAUGUAGAAUUCUAUGAGCAUAUUUUCCCUUUCUCCUACCUAGCUUCAAAUAACACAAAAACAACCAAUCUAGUACCCCUAUACUCCCUAUCAAUCAACAAGAUUCCUUUUACUAUUCUUGCAUUCAUCAACCUGCUAUCCAACCUUCCCUACCACAAAAUCGCCCCAAUUUUCUCCAAACUAGGCAUUCUCAAAGAAUUAGAAGAACUCCUACCUAUUUAGCAUAUUAUCACUACACCUUGUUAAAUGAUUCUAAUACUAGUAAUAACCACAUCAAAUACCCUAUAAACCAAAACUUUACUUAUGACCAUAUAGCACCUGCUCACAAACAUUUUUCUAUGUCCAUUACCAUUAACCAAACACCUGCCACAUAUUCAGAAGCCAUUAAAUCUGAUUGUUGGAAACAUGCCAUACAAACUGAGCUCAAUGCUCUAGCAAAAAACAACACUUGGAUCUUAGUCCUCUUACCUUUUGACAAGAAAUCCAUAGGGUGCAAAUGGAUUUUUAAAGUCAAACAUAAUGCAACUGGAUCUAUAGAGAGACGCACAAAGCAAGGUUGAUUGCAAAAGGAUUUAUCCAAACUGAAGGAGUAGAUUACAUGGAUACUUUCAUUCCAGUGGUGAAGAUGACCACAAUUAGAGUGCUCCUUUGUCUAGCUACCACCUUCAAUUGGCACUUGCACCAAUAGGACAUCAAUACAACUUUCCUUCAUGGUGACCUCAAAGAAAUAGUGUUCAUGAAGAUACCUCAAGGCUUGCACUGUUCAAUCCCAAAUUGGUCUGCAAACUUGAGAAAUCCAUCUAUGGGUUGAAACAAGCAAGUAGACAAUGGCAUGACAAACUCACCACCAUCCUACUCAAACUUGGUUAUUCUAAAUCAUUUUCUGAUCAUUCUCUUUUUAUUAGAAAAACCAACAUUAACUUCACUCCUAUGUUGGUUUAUCUAGAUGACUUAGUGUUAGUAGGUAAUGAUCUUGAACAAAUAAUUGACACUAAAGUUGACUUCAAUGAUAAAUUCAGUAUCAAAGACCUUGGAGAACUGAAAUUUUUCCUUGCCAUGGAAGUUGCAAGAUCAAAGCAGGGAAUAUGUCUCUACUAGAGGAAAUAUACCCUAAACCUCCUUCAAGAAACUGGAUUGCUUGCAUCCAAGCCCUCUACAACCCCCAUGGAGUAUAACACCAAAUUGCACUCUCAAUCAAGACAGCCCCUUCACGAUAUCACUACAUACAAAAGAUUAAUGGGCAAAUUACUUUACUUAACCCACACUAGACCAUAUAUAUCAUAUGCAGUGAGUUCACUUAACCAAUAUACUCCAACUGAUUCACACCUUAAGGCAACUCAACGAAUCCUAAGAUAUCUUAAAAAUUCACCUGGGCAGGGCAUUUUCUUCCCUAGCCAAAACACCACAAUAAUUCAAGGCUACUCAGAUUCAGAUUGGGCCACUUGUAUAAACACAAGGAAAUUAGUGACAUGGUGGUGUUUCUUCUUUGGCAAUGCUCUCAUUUCGUGGAAAAGUAAGAAACGGAAUACUGUUUCUCGAUCAUCAUCAGAAGCCGAAUAUAGAGCCUUUGCCAUGGUUGCUUAUGAAGCACAAUGGUUACGUUUUCUCAUCAAAGAUCUUGGCCUCCAACAUCCUAAACUUGUCAGUAUAUUUUGUGACAAUAAUUAUGCACUUCACAUAGUUGCCAACCCUGUCUUUCAUGAAAGAACGAAGCACAUCGAGAUAGAUUGUUAUGUUGCUCGAGAGAGAGUUCAAAAUAAUACCAUUCAUCUUCUUCCCAUUUUAACUACACUUCAAUUGGCUGACAUAUUCACUAAAUCUCUCUCUCCUCUUCCUUUUAGAAGCAUCAUGUCCAAACUUGGCAUUCUUGAUAUUCGCAUGCCAAGUUGGAGGGGGUCUGUUGAAGGCAAAGUCAUUGUUGACAAGCCCAAAGAGAAGUCCAAAGCUAUUGCUACUUGCCUCCAAGAUAAAUAACAGAAGUUUUCUUUCUUUCUGUUUUUAGCAACUUUUUAUAUUUAUGAUAUUUCUGUUAUUUAGUUAGUUUCCUCUUUUAGUAAGAUAUGUUUUUUCUGUAAUUUUAUUUUCUUAGUUUUCUAUAUAAAUAAGUGAUCAAUUUUACUUAUUCAGAUUGAGAAAUUAAUACAAUUGAUUGAGCCUUAUUGUUUCAAGAAACUCUGCAUUUGGUGUUCUUUUAUUUCUUUAG